rnacentral:rRNA from 1 species
GGCAGCAGUGGGGAAUAUUGGACAAUGGGCGAAAGCCUGAUCCAGCCAUGCCGCGUGUGUGAAGAAGGUCUUCGGAUUGUAAAGCACUUUAAGUUGGGAGGAAGGGCAGUAAGCUAAUACCUUGCUGUUUUGACGUUACCGACAGAAUAAGCACCGGCUAACUCUGUGCCAGCAGCCGCG